UUUUUUUUUCCAAACUGCAGUUUUAACUUGCAGGAUGCCACAUUCUCCGAUAGUUUUGAUUUUAAAACCACAGCCAGAAUCUGUAUUUAAUUUCAUCUUUUUUAACCUCUUGCUUUUUUUGAUCUCUAUUUAUUGAUGCGUGUUGCCACGUUGCCAUUAUGUUUUUACAUUGGUAGAAUAUUAAUAAAAUACACAUCCGAGUGCUCUCGACAGUAAUUUGUACCUGCUGACUUGUAGGAAAGCUGGCUAUAUAUGAGUGUGUGUGUAUAUAUAUUAUAUAAAUAUAUACAUGUAUACAUAGAUACAAUACUGCUUUUUUAUUUUGUCUACGAUCUUGAAACAGUCUGACUGAAGUGUGAGGUGAAUGCUUGUUCUAGUCCAUCUGUUCAGGGUCCGGGUUUCCUCCCUGUGACGGCACGUGGUGUGAGCAUCCACGUCUCUCUUCCUGAAGUCAAAGCAAUACUCCUCGGGAAAGGGUCGGGUGAGCGGCCGGACGCAGCCGCGGCGUAGGAACGAGACUUUUGGAGACCUGAUCUUGUUGUAGCCUUGCAGUUUGGUGUCCACUCCGGCCUUACCCUCCUUCAGCGAAACUGUAGUUGCCUUUGGUGCUUAUCGAGCUGUUACUCGACCUGUGGAUCUCUAAGGCAAGCGGUUGCUUUUCGGGAACGCGCGGACCUUGGCGUGGCCCCGGGGGUGGCCGGCGGUAGCGGGUUGUGCUUGUGAGCUCGGCCGCUGCAGGGGCUGCAGGG